CGCGUUCACAAUGAGCACGAGCUUUGCAAACCGUUGUAAGCUGUUAUCACGUACACUCUCCACUUUUUCAAAAACCGCUUAAAUAUAAACCACGCUUACAACAAGCACCAUCCAGCUAUGUAAGAAAUCCUACCAGGCUCAAGAUAGCUUAAAAGUCUUAAAAGCCAAGGCCAAUACAUUAAAUUUAGUAAACAGCUAGCAAGCGAAGAAGGUAGAGAAAAUCUACGAUGUCUAAGGCCAACAAAG